rnacentral:piRNA from 1 species
UGUGUAUGGUUACCAAUGACUGUAAAUGUCUC